UACAGAGGUGGCAAGCGUUGUUCGGAAUUACUGGGCGUAAAGGGCGCGUAGGCGGCCUUCUAAGUCAGACGUGAAAUCCCCCGGCUUAACCUGGGAACUGCGUCUGAUACUGGAAGGCUUGAGUGCGGGAGAGGGAUGUGGAAUUCCAGGUGUAGCGGUGAAAUGCGUAGAUAUCCGGAGGAACACCGGUGGCGAAGGCGGCUUCCUGGACCGACACUGACGCUGAGGCGCGAAAGCUAGGGGAGCAAACGGG
rnacentral:rRNA from 1 species